GAAGACAGACAGGUGUAAAGAUAGACAGGUGUGAAGGCAGACAGGUGUGAAGACAGACAGGUGUAAAGAUAGACAGGUGUGAAGAUAGACAGGUGUGAAGACAGACAGGUGUGAAGGCAGACAGGUGUGAAGACAGACAGGUGUAAAGAUAGACAGGUGUGAAGGCAGACAGGUGUGAAGACAGACAGGUGUAAAGAUAGACAGGUGUGAAGGCAGACAGGUGUAAAGACAGACAGGUGUAAAGAUAGACAGGUGUGAAGACAGACAGGUGUAAAGAUAGACAGGUGUAAAGACAGACAGGUGUAAAGAUAGACAGGUGUGAAGACAGACAGGUGUAAAGAUAGACAGGUGUAAAGACAGACAGGUGUAAAGAUAGACAGGUGUGAAGACAGACAGGUGUAAAGACAGACAGGUGUAAAGAUAGACAGGUGUGAA